GGUUUUCCAUCAUAUGGUGGCCGAGUCAGUUCAAUAGCCAGUGGUCUCAAUGUGCCAUCUUCGGUUAGGAAGAACAAUGCCCUUGAUCCGUAUAGCGUUGUGCCUUCUAGUUUUCUCACCUCCUCCACUAAUGGCAACAACAAAUCAUGGUAGUCCAGGACGAACAGUUUCUUCUGUUUUAUGGCCUGCAUUAAUUGAACAUUUUCACGGCUAAGUGUUGCACCAUAAAAUAUUUAUGCCUAGCAAGUCACUGAUUCAUGCAUUUGCUUUAAAACAUACCUCUUCCACUGUGAGGAAUCCUCUUAUUUCCUGCUCUACUAAUUCAGUGGUGAUGGAUGAUUCCGCAGGGCCAUAAACUUCAGGAUCAAGUUUGCUUUUCAAUGGCCAUUCCUACAUCACACCAAAUUUUUGUUGGUAUAGACAUUUUGUGUGAAGUAGAAGAAAUAGAAAGGAAAUUUAC
rnacentral:lncRNA from 1 species